CACGUAGGGCGCAAGCGUUGUCCGGAAUUAUUGGGCGUAAAGAGCUCGUAGGCGGUCUGUUGCGUCCGCUGUGAAAACUCGGGGCUUAACCCCGAGCCUGCAGUGGAUACGGGCAGACUAGAGGUAGGUAGGGGAGAAUGGAAUUCCUGGUGUAGCGGUGAAAUGCGUAGAUAUCUGGAGGAACACCGGUGGCGAAGGCGGCAUCCUGGACCAUUACUGACGCUGAGGAGCGAAAGCCAGGGGAGCGAACGGG
rnacentral:rRNA from 1 species